CCCGGCAUCGGGGUGCGAUUAAAGUUUCGGCGCCUAGAGAUCGCUGUGCGUCCGAUUAGCUAGUUGGCGGGGUAACGGCCCACCAAGGCUUCGAUCGGUAGGGGGUGUGAGAGCAUGGCCCCCCACACGGGUACUGAGACACGGACCCGACUCCUACGGGAGGCAGCAGUAAGGAAUAUUGGACAAUGGGCGGAAGCCUGAUCCAGCCAUGCCGCGUGGAGGACGAAGGCGCUCAGCGUUGUAAACUCCUUUUGAGUGGGAACAAAACCCCGGACUUGUCCGGGCCUGAGGGUACCACUAGAAUAAGCACCGGCUAACUCCGUGCCAGCAGCCGCGGUAAUACGGAGGGUGCGAGCGUUAUCCGGAAUCACUGGGUUUAAAGGGUGCGUAGGCGGCCAUAUAAGUCAGUCGUGAAAUCGCUGGGCUCAACCCAUGCAAUUGCGAUUGAUACUGUUUGGCUUGAAUUGGGUUCAGGCAGGCGGAAUGUGGCAUGUAGCGGUGAAAUGCUUAGAUAUGCCAUAGAACACCGAUUGCGAAGGCAGCUUGCUGGGCCUUGAUUGACGCUGAGGCACGAAAGCGUGGGGAGCAAACAGGAUUAGAUACCCUGGUAGUCCACGCCCUAAACGAUGUUUACUUGCUGUUUGGGCUAUAUGCUUGAGUGGCGAAGCGAAAGCGAUAAGUAAACCACCUGGGGAGUACGCCGGCAACGG
rnacentral:rRNA from 1 species